GUGCUCGCUCUGGCAGCACAUAUAAUAAAACUGGAAUGAUACAGAAAAGAUUAGCAUGGCCCCUGUGCAGGGAUGAUAUGCAAACUUGUGAAAUGUUCCAUAUUUUU